rnacentral:rRNA from 1 species
AACGAACGCUGGCGGCAGGCCUAACACAUGCAAGUCGAGCGAAGCCUUCGGGCUUAGCGGCGGACGGGUGAGUAACGCGUGGGAACGUGCCCUUUGGUACGGAAUAGCCCCGGGAAACUGGGAGUAAUACCGUAUGUGGUCGAGAGACGAAAGAUUUAUCGCCAAAGGAUCGGCCCGCGUUGGAUUAGGUAGUUGGUGGGGUAAUGGCCUACCAAGCCGACGAUCCAUAGCUGGUUUGAGAGGAUGAUCAGCCACACUGGGACUGAGACACGGCCCAGACUCCUUCGGGAGGCAGCAGUGGGGAAUCUUAGACAAUGGGGGAAACCCUGAUCUAGCCAUGCCGCGUGAUCGAUGAAGGCCUUAGGGUUGUAAAGAUCUUUCAGUGGGGAAGAUAAUGACUGUACCCACAGAAGAAGCCCCGGCUAACUACGUGCCAGCCGCCGCAGUAACAC